rnacentral:rRNA from 1 species
UUUAUCGGAGAGUUUGAUCCUGGCUCAGGACGAACGCUGGCGGCGUGCCUAAUACAUGCAAGUCGAGCGGACAGAUGGGAGCUUGCUCCCUGAUGUUAGCGGCGGACGGGUGAGUAACACGUGGGUAACCUGCCUGUAAGACUGGGAUAACUCCGGGAAACCGGGGCUAAUACCGGAUACU